CGCUGGGUGCUGAAGAGACAUUGCUCAGGAAAAUUCCACUGCCACAAAAAGUACAAGGAAAUAUGCUAUGCAAUCCUACCUUUAUGAAAUUUACAAUCUAGUAUAGGAGAUGAACUUAAAAUAAUUGUAAGGAAGCUGUGAACCAUUUCUGCAAUACAUGUUUAAGCGUGGAAGGGAGAGUUGCGAAGAAGGCAUUAACAGCAACUCACGGAAAGCUUCAGUGGGAAGGUGGGAUGUGAGCUGAGUCUUUUAGGAUGAGCAAAAUGUGAAAGGAGGAAAAGUGACGGAAGUAGAUGUUGCUUAACUCGCUCCAGACCUCACCUCCACUGUGCAAUGACACAGUGCUCACAAAUGGCUGGUGGAGACCCGAACUGGAGCCAGAGGCCAGGCAGGAUACUGCUUCGUGGGAGGAUGAAGAAGGGCUUUGUACUACCUGCCCCAACUUCGACACCAUUUGCAGAUGAAGCUCCAAGAAACAUGAAAACCAGACAGCUAUAGCGCUUUGGGUGGAGUGUGCUGCUGGGCACAGCAAAUAUAAAUGGCCUUAAAGAAAAAGCAGAAUGGACAAUGAAUGCCAUCCCUUAAAGCGACGUCUUUGCUGCAGCCUCUUCAUUUGCCCUCGGAUUAAUGCGUGAUAGUUUCCUGUCCCUGGUACUUGGGGCUGUGCAGUGAGGAAAUAUGAAGAAAGAAAAGAACUGAAGUGAGCUACCUUGGGGCCUUAGAGGGAAGGCCAGCAGUAUUGUCAACCCAUUUGGUUCUGCCAAAUCAUGAUGAAAGUAAUGGCCCAACCCGGCUGAGAGUAAGCCCCUGUGUUUCUCUGCAGCAGAUGACUGAGAAGCAGCCAGGCUGGUCCCCAUUCUGAGCUGCAGCCCAGCCUGCUCCUGUUCACUUCCUCUGUCGUUCUGGGAGGUUUGUCAGCUUGCACCUCUUCAGCUCCUUCAUGCUGACAUCAUGUUGGAAAAGCCACUUUACUUCUUAGAGAUUCAAAUAACCCAAGCCUUGCUUGACUUGCUUCUCAGGACAACAGAAUAGACACCAAUCAGAAACUCCAUGGCAGUGUGAACUGUUUUUACCUUCCAGGCCCUGCCUUUCUCUGCUGGCUGUCUUCAUCGGGAUCACACCAGAACUUCUAGCUUAUCACAUCUUUGCUUGACUAACUUCAAUUCAUCCUCUAAGACUUAGCUCAGGUAUGACCUGCCCUGGGAAGCUCCUUUGAGACCCUCACUGCCCUCCCAGGGCCAUAUGCUGAUUUUCUCUAUGACAAUUUUACAUUAAAGCCGUGUGCCCAUUUUGCCUACUAAACUUGGAGCUUGUUUUGCAGAGGGAAAUUCCCUAAUGAUCUUAAUGGUACUCUCUGUUAGCCUGAAGCCUGGUAUCCUGUAGACAUUGAUUCUUAUAAUAAUAUUGAUGAAUGAAUAAACAAAUGAGAAAUUGUGAAGAUGGGGCAUUAUCUUUCUAAUGAUCAUCACUGUAUUUGGUGUAACCAUUCAUAUUCAUUUAAUGCCAAGAUA
rnacentral:lncRNA from 10 species